UACGUAGGUGACCAGCGUUGUCCGGAUUUACUGGGCGUAAAGAGCGCGCAGGCGGUCGUUCAAGUCGAGUGUGAAAGCCCCCGGCUCAACUGGGGAGGGUCACUCGAUACUGAUCGACUUGAAGGCAGGAGAGGGAAGCGGAAUUCCCGGUGUAGUGGUGAAAUGCGUAGAUAUCAGGAGGAACACCGGUGGCGAAGGCGGUGGUCUGGGCCGGCACUGACGCUGAGGAGCGAAAGCGUGGGUAGCAAACAGG
rnacentral:rRNA from 1 species